rnacentral:snRNA from 1 species
GUGCUUGCUUCGGCCUCACACACACUGAAAGUGGAACCAUAAAAGGAUUAGCAUGACCCUGCACAUGGCCCUGCAAAUUUGAGAUGCAUUCCAUAUUUCU